rnacentral:lncRNA from 1 species
UUUGUUGUUUACUAAUGAUGCCUAACAAUAUAAGUUCUAUUUGUUGCAGCAAAAGGGAAAUUUAUGUACUAGCAUAUAAGGUUAAGCAUUAUACAUAUUGUUCCAGCAAAAGGAAAAUUAGAUAUUUUCGUUCACUUACCCAAAAAAUUUUUAAACCGUUGAAAGAUUUAGAAGCAAACACUAAAAUUUACCAAACUAGUUCUUUAUAUUUAGCUUUUGAGUUAGAAACACAGUUUGAAUAUAAUCCUAAAUCCUAAUCCCAUUUUUGAUUCCCAUUCAAUAAUUAAAAGGAACUAGAAUAUAUUAGCAAUAAAUCCUAUUCCCAGAAUCCGAUUCAAUAUAAUCCUAAUCUCAUUCAAUAUUUGAGCAAUAAAUCAUAAUCCCAUAACAUGAUUACCUAAUCCUAGCAAAAUCUGAAAAUAAUCCCACCUCCCACUACCCAGCAUAUGACAGUGAAGGCACAAAACCCUUUGGCUCCACAGCUCACCCUAAAUCAGAUUCUCCAUCUUAAAAUAUUUUAAAAGAACAAGAAAAAAAAAUAUAAACAAAAUGAGUAUCUCCGUAGCAAUGGCAACAGAUAGGGACGAGAGAGGACAUUGAGGUAUAAUUUGAGAAUGAAGUAAUCAUGAAUUGAUAAAUUGGGAUUUAGCUUUCACUGAUAGUAUCGAUGAAAGAAAGGCGACGCAGGCGGCACCAUAUCAAGGGCUCACAGAGAUGAGAGUGAGAAUAUGAGAGGCUGAGAGAAAAAUUCAAAGUUGUCGUGCCUUCGUAAUCGUCCGU